AGUGAACGCUGGCGGUGGGCCUAACACAUGCAAGUCGAACGGCAGCACAGUAAGAGCUUGCUCUUACGGGUGGCGAGUGGCGGACGGGUGAGGAAUACAUCGGAAUCUACUUUUUCGUGGGGGAUAACGUAGGGAAACUUACGCUAAUACCGCAUACGACCUACGGGUGAAAGCAGGGGAUCUUCGGACCUUGCGCGAUUGAAUGAGCCGAUGUCGGAUUAGCUAGUUGGCGGGGUAAAGGCCCACCAAGGCGACGAUCCGUAGCUGGUCUGAGAGGAUGAUCAGCCACACUGGAACUGAGACACGGUCCAGACUCCUACGGGAGGCAGCAGUGGGGAAUAUUGGACAAUGGGCGCAAGCCUGAUCCAGCCAUCCCGCGUGGGUGAAGAAGGCCUUCGGGUUGUAAAGCCCUUUUGUUGGGAAAGAAAAGCAGCAGGUUAAUACCCCGCUGUUCUGACGGUACCCAAAGAAUAAGCACCGGCUAACUUCGU
rnacentral:rRNA from 1 species